GCCCGCGUGGUGGAAUGGUAGACACAGUGGACUUAAAAUCCAUAGGCCGGAAGGCCGUGCCGGUUCAAGUCCGGCCGCGGGUACCA
rnacentral:tRNA from 1 species